AUGGGUGCGUAACACGUAGGUGACCUGCCCGGAAGUGGGGAAUAACAGUCCGAAAGGACUGCUAAUACCGCAUGCGGUGCGCGGGGUUUGAGACCCGCGUUCCAAAGGUUGAGGCAACUCAGCCGCUUUCGGAGGGGCCUGCGGCCCAUCAGCUCGUUGGUAGGGUAACGGCCUACCAAGGCAACGACGGGUAGGGGACCUGAGAGGGUGACCCCCCACACUGGCACUGACACACGGGCCAGACUCCUACGGGAGGCAGCAGUCGGGAAUAUUGCCCAAUGGACGAAAGUCUGAGGCAGCAACGCCGCGUGCGCGAUGAAGGCCUUCGGGUCGUAAAGCGCUUUUCGGGAGGAUGAGAGCGGACAGUACUCCCGGAAUCAGGUACGGCUAACUACGUGCCAGCAGCCGCGGUAAAACGUAGGUACCGAGCGUUAUCCGGAUUUACUGGGCGUAAAGCGCGUUCAGGCGGUUUGGCAAGUCGGGCAUGAAAUCCUUCGGCUCAACCGGGGGAGGUUGUCCGAUACUGCCAGACUUGAGGGCAGUAGAGGGUGGUGGAAUUCCGGGUGUAGUGGUGAAAUGCGUAGA
rnacentral:rRNA from 1 species